rnacentral:rRNA from 1 species
CAGCAGCCGCGGUAAUACGGAGGGUCCAAGCGUUGUCCGGAUUUAUUGGGUGUAAAGGGUGUGUAGGCGGGCUUGUAAGUCAGAGGUGAAAUCCCACGGCUCAACCGUGGAACUGCCUUUGAUACUGCAGGUCUUGAGUCCUGGAGAGGUUGUUAGAAUUCGUGGUGUAGCGGUGAAAUGCGUAGAUAUCACGAGGAAUACCGGUUACGAAGGUUGACAGCUGGACAGGUACUGACGCUGAGGCACGAAAGCGUGGGGAGCAAACAGGAUUAGAUACCCUGGUAGUCCACGCCGUAAACGAUGAUCACUCGGUGUCGCGGAGUAAUCUGCGGUGCCUAAGCUAACGCAUUAAGUGAUCCACCUGGGGAGUACGAUCGCAAGGUUGAAACUCAAAGGAAUUGACGGGGGCCCGCACAAGCGGUGGAGCAUGUGGCUUAAUUCGAUGCAACGCGAGGAACCUUACCUGGGCUCGAACGCUACCGGACAGUCGCCCGAAAGGGGAUUUUUCUUCGGAACUGGUAGUGAGGUGCUGCAUGGCUGUCGUCAGUUCGUGUCGUGAGAUGUUGGGUUAAGUCCCGCAACGAACGCAACCCCUAUUGUUAGUUACCAGCGGAUAAUGCCGGGGACUCUAGCGAGACUGCCUGCGCAAGCAGUGAGGAAGGUGGGGACGACGUCAAGUCAUCAUGGCCCUUAUGCCCAGGGCUGCACACGUGCUACAAUGGAUGGUACAACGGGCUGCCACCCCGCGAGGGGGAGCGAAUCCACAAAGCCAUCCUCAGUUCGGAUCGGAGUCUGCAACUCGACUCCGUGAAGUCGGAAUCGCUAGUAAUCGCGUAUCAGCAAUGACGCGGUGAAUACGUUCCCGGGCCUUGUACACACCGCCCGUCAAGCCAUGGAAGCCGGGGGCACCCGAAGCCCGUGACCCAACUUAGUGAGGGAGCGGUCGAAGGUGAAUCUGGUGACUGGGGCUAAGUCGUAACAAGGUAACCGUA